AGUUUGCAGGAUGCAAUUUUCCUCAAUAUAAACAUUCUAAUGCAAUUUGAUGCCCAUUGUGUUUUGGUGCAGCAGGCGGGAGCUUUUAUUUUGCAGAUUUAUUUUUAGGACUCUGAGUGCACACGGGGGUAACCUAAGUGGACUGGCUGGCUGCUUAUUCUCAGUGCCAUGAGCCGAGCUUUAGAAGUUCUGACGUGCAAUACAGACCUGGAAGCUGAGGCUCUUUCCUUACGUUGUCCUAAAGUCCCAGCUUCUUUUUGCUCUUUACAGAACAGCAUGGAGAAAUCAUGUAAAAGCUAUGACUGGUGGCAGGGCUCUUGGAAAUCCUCUAGUGAGGUAUGCUUAUUGCUUUGAAGUCACCUGAUAAUCAGGAUGUGAUUAAUACUACAUCAGUGGGAAAGAAAAGCCAGUCAGGAUUUGACUCAGUUCUCAGCACAUGCAGCAGGACAUACCAUACUGAAAGCAUUUGCUGAUCUCCCAGACUUCCAUAACUAGAUGGACUGAGUCCUUUGUCCUUUGCUUCAUAAGUAAUGUCUCUAUCUCUUCCAUCUAGAAACAGAGAUUGGUUGAUGAGCAACAAGAGUCAGUCCUUUCCUAAUUCAAUUUAAUGAUGUUUUGGGAAGAGCUGUGAUCAUACAGCCUAUGUUGCUCCUUCUGAAGCAACUGCUGAAGUUACAACUUAGAUGAAAGCACUGUAAAUUCAAGCAUCUCUGCUCAGGGACUGGAUGUGUCUUGGUGUUAUGGUUUGUAAGGGUAACAAGUAUUGAAGAAAAGAAGGGACGCAUGUACAGCACUGAGGAUUUGGGACCCAGGAGUGGGGAGGUUUGUGCUCUAUUAAAAGCCCAGGGAUGAGACUUUCUGAGCGCAUCUUUGAUGUACAGAGAUAAAAAGACUUCAGGCUGCAUUUAUCUGUGUUGAGAUGUUCCUACAGAAUGCAUUUCCUUGUUUGGUUGCUCGUAUUUUUGCUCAGUCUUUACUGGAUGAAUAUAAGUGAUGCAUUGUUUAGGUGCAGAAAGAGAUAAGAAGAAAAAAGAACAUCUUCUACACUUGUGCAAGGUGUUUCUUGAUCUACCUCAUUUAAAAGUCUACAGGGUUCCUGGGCAGGACCCUCCUACCCCUGAGCACAUCCAGCUCUGUGAUCCUUUGUCUUCUUCCUGAACUCUUCCAUCUUACAAUGAAUUUUUCCUCGCAGUACACCAGACCUGCAAGAAGAAAUCCCUUCCUCCUGUUGAGCAUAUGAGGUGUCAGACAGAGUGAAACCUGGAGAACUGUGAAGCAGUUAGAGAAAAAGCAGGCAGAAUUUCUUGGAUCUGGCCAUGAAGUCAAAGAGAGGACCUGCCUGGAUCUUACAACCACAAAGCCCAGCUCAGCUGCUGGGGUUUGCACUCACCUGGCACACGGCUCAUUCACUUCUGCCAGUGCCCAUCGAUGCAAGGAUUACUUGCCCCAGAGUUGCUUCACUUGCUGCAAAUCCAAUGCAAGCCAAAGCAGUAGAACCGUGAGCUGCAGAAAUGGUUUUUCAUGGUUAAUUUCCACUAUGAAAGGGUGGAAGCAGCUGUAGGAAAUUCUGCAACCGGAAUUAAGGAAAUGGACUCCAGGCUCUGAAGGGGCAGGACGUGAUGUGACAGUGGGAGGUUUUGCAUGGUGAUGGAGAUUGCUUUAAUGUUGAGAAAUUUGAGCUAUUUCAGACAAAGCCUCAGGGAAUGGAUCCUGGUUCUGGAGGCUGUCAGUUGUGACAGGGAAGAUCAUCAACCCCGUUCCCAGCAGUUACCAGGUUGUGAGCAGAUAGAUGUUAUCUGGGGCCAUGUGAUUUAAAGAGAUGGACAGCUUGGUGUACCUGGCCUAUCCCUGAAUAUAAGAAAGCAAAAUAGCACCUGGGAACUGUUAUUGCCCACUGAUCUGCCCUGUGGUGCCCAGGAAGAUGUCUGCCCUUCACUGGCCCCAUCUUUGGUCUGAGGAACCCUGGUGUACUUCUGUCAGUUCAACAGCCCAAGGGAAUGGAGGUGCUGGUCCCAAAGGGGUUUGGUGUUGUGCUGUGGAUCUGGGAGGCUGCAACAGCAACUGUUGGCUGCAAAUCAGUACUGGGCUGAGUCUUGCUUCACCUUGUCCUCUAACAAGGCCUGAAGAAAUGAAACCAUUAAUGACACUUGCCCGGUUAGAUGCUCUUCUGGUUGCAAAAUGAAUCUUUCUGAAAUUUCUCCCACCCAGGUACCAAGGAGGCUUUCGUAUUUUAACCUUGAACACUUUCACGAGGUUUACCAGGAAGAGGAGCAGUGUGGGUUCUGGCUCUCCCAUUAGCUCACAGACUCCAAUUGUUCUCUAUCUGGAUGCAGCCUGGACCACAGAGCCACUGAGAUCAGGAGGUGUGGAAGGAUUAAAGGACUUGACAGAGAGAUCUGCUGCAGGGCUGAUUCCCUAUUCCUGCUGGAGACAUUUCUUAGUGUACUGCAUCACGCGGGGUCCUGAUCUCUCUGGGCCUCAGCUUUUAACUCAGUAAGUGUCUUUGCUAUUCAAACAUUAAUUAGAGAUGAUGGUUUUUGCUAAAAUAUUGUAAAGCUGAUAAAAAACAUCUUUCACCCUGGAAUAAGCUUUUUCAGAUCACCUACAUGUGUUGCACAUAACAGGUAGUGUCUGUGGGCUUGGAACGGUGGGCGACGGGGUCACCCUGAUAUCUCUGUGCCCCAUCAAUGGGAUUUCUGUGCUGUGUGCUCUCUGAAGG